rnacentral:lncRNA from 1 species
AAGUUACUGAGCUCUUUUAAAAGGAUGUCUGCGUACUCCAUAAACAGUCAUCUGGCAUGAUGAUGGUAAGAGAAAACAACACACCCAGGUAAUUCCCUCGCUGAAAUACAAACAGCACCCAGAUUCCUCCAGCAAAGCAUUGGCUCGUGUACAGAACUGAAGGCAACUGUCAGCUCCAAAGCAGCAAGGCUGUUUCAGAACUAUCUAGGUGAUCAUACAGGCAAGAAGAGUAUUGAUCUGCCUACAGGACUCACUGUUCAAAGUCUCUGAAUUUUGCAUAAGUAGACAUAUGGCAACCUGAAACUUUCUUUUAAGCUUUAAACUUCUACAAGUUUUUCAUAAAGUCAAUAAAAAGUUUAAAUGUUAUUCAUUU